CUGUCAUUUUUACCAAGGAAGAUAGGUGAGCUCCAGGGAGCAUCUUAAUAGAACAUGCAGUCAGGAAUGGUGUUCCCAGGGUGAAGAAACAAGAGCCUCGCCAGGACCUUUGCAGAAAGUGAAUGGUGUGUCACUUUUGUAAUGAGAAAGGCCAUAUAUCUACGCACAACGCAUGAAAGCCUGUCAGCUGGGGAAGAAGGCAUCCCCACCAGCCAGCGGCACAGCCCGGAAUGAAAGGGCACAUGGAGCUGACACUGAUGAAACAGACCUAGCUACACACACUGCCAUCACACACUGCCUCUGAAAGGGACCAUCAGUUUGAAAGACACCAUGAGGAACAUAACACAUCCAAGGUGUCAUUGGCUUCACACGGAAUCUGCUUUGGAUGAAAAUUUCCUUUAGGAUCUGAGAAGGUAGAAAUGAGUUCUAA